rnacentral:rRNA from 1 species
GAUGAACGCUAGCUACAGGCUUAACACAUGCAAGUCGAGGGGCAGCACAGUGUAGCAAUACACGGGUGGCGACCGGCGCACGGGUGCGUAACGCGUAUCCAACCUUCCCGUUACUCUUGGAUAGCCUUCCGAAAGGGAGAUUAAUACAAGAUGGUAUUCAAAUUCCGCAUGUUAUUUGAAUUAAAGAUUUAUCGGUAACGGAUGGGGAUGCGUGACAUUAGAUAGUAGGCGGGGUAACGGCCCACCAAGGCGACGAUCGUUAGGGGUUCUGAGAGGAAGGUCCCCCACACUGGAACUGAGACACGGUCCAGACUCCUACGGGAGGCAGCAGUGAGGAAUAUUGGUCAAUGGGCGCGAGCCUGAACCAGCCAAGUAGCGUGCAGGAUGACGGCCCUCUGGGUUGUAAACUGCUUUUAGUUGGGAAUAAAAAGAGGGACGUGUCCCUAAUUGUAUGUACCAUCAGAAAAAGGACCGGCUAAUUCCGUG